rnacentral:rRNA from 1 species
UACGUAGGGGGCAAGCGUUGUCCGGAUUUAUUGGGCGUAAAGAGCGUGUAGGCGGCCAGACAGGUCCGUUGUGAAAACUCGAGGCUCAACCUCGAGAUGUCGAUGGAAACCGUCUGGCUAGAGUCCGGAAGAGGAGAGUGGAAUUCCUGGUGUAGCGGUGAAAUGCGCAGAUAUCAGGAAGAACACCCGUGGCGAAGGCGGCUCUCUGGGACGGUACCGACGCUGAGACGCGAAAGCGUGGGGAGCGAACAGG